rnacentral:lncRNA from 1 species
CAAGGACUUGGACUCAACCCCUAAUUGUACAACUCUAUUAUAAAUAGAGCUGGUUAUCAUUCAAGAUCAAUAAGAACAAGAGGAUUAUUACCUCAUAUUUUGACAUGAUAUCAAAGCCUGGUUGGAACCCUAGAACCUCUUGCUCAACCGCCGACCAACUCUCUCUCUCUCUCUUAAACUUUUUCUUCCUGGACAGCAACCAUGACCGGCGGAGUAAUCAAGUUCGGACAAGUUGGUGAGGUUGUGACCACUGAGACUGGCGCAAACGCAGACGUAGACAGCAGCCAGAGUCACACCAACAAUACAAUGCCCCCGUCUCCUCCGAUCAAUGAGUUUACGAUUUAGGGUGAAACGGUCGUGGAAGCGUUGAUGUCCUUGUGUUGGAGAUAUAAAGGCUGUCCGAGUGAAGGUAACAUUUUUAAACCUUUUGUGCUAUUAGUUGGUGGGAAUCAGUUUAGUUGUCUUAAAUCGAACUGCAACUGAUUGGGUUUCUUGUCAGUCUUUAAUCGAUUUUAUCCCUAAGAUUCUUGUCACAUCUGAAGCUAAAGCUAUCAAUGUGAUCUUGUCUAUGAACCGAAUCAAAAAGCGGUUUAGGAAUCAAUCACAAGCGUUAAACUGAGAAUGAAGUUGUUUACCAGAAGAACCGAAAUCAGUCCUUCAUUCGAGGUCGUCACAUGGUCCCUUCUUCGUUAAGUUCUUGAAUACAUGACUAUACCUUUGUUGGUGAUGUGUUGUAGGAAGCAGAAGCGAUAAGCUCGGAUUCCCUCGGGUUUAAUUUAUAGGGUUGCUUAGGAACUCAAGUCCAGACAAUGUGGUUUGCAUUUAAAUCACGGGUAAAACUACCAACGAAUUCCUUUAAAGUUUUUCGUGUUAAUUUCAGCUAGAGAUAUACCGUAUGAGUAAUCUGCUCCCUAAUGGGAGCAGCCUGUGUAUGAUCCCUAGCUGCUUACCUUGAAAUACAACAAAAAAAUCAUACCUUCUGGAAAUCUUUACCUAAUGAUUUCUCCAUUGUUUAAGUGAUCAUACUCACUGUUACUAUAACAUUUGCAGGCCACUUUUGAACAUAGUGCAGAGAGACAACUUAGUGAAUUACUGUUCCCAAGAAGCAGAGUUAACAUCAAGUGGACACAGUAACUAUGUUCUCGAUAACAACAGUCAUUGAGAAUUCAUUAUUUUUUCUCUACACUCAUCCUAUCAUUUCUCAUUUUCUUUUGAAUUUCUAUUUCAAGGUGUUGCAUAAAUUUUUUGGUCCUUGAGUAUUUUUAAACUAUAAUUUAUACUGGAGUUAUCAUAUGUUUAUACUUUGUUUUUUGAAUAAUCUGAUGAGUAUCCUCAAUAAAGAUUUGAUACUUCAAUCUGAUGAGUAUCCUCAAUAAAGAUUUGAUACUUUAAUUUCUUUUCUUGUUUCCCUCAUCUCUGGAUGCAUUAAAGGGUAUGUCAACUUUAUUUUAGGCAAAAUGUGUACGAUAUUUGUAUCUUUUUGAACUUGAUGAUUUAGUUUCUUUCUUAUUUGCACUCUUUUCCUUGUAUACUUUUAAGCUGCUCAACAAGAAAGAUCAACAUUUGUGUCUUCUUUGAUGCUACUACUAGCAUGAGUAUUCAUUGCAGCUACAAUUAUAAGGGUUGGAGCUACUGGGCAUCAUCAACAUUCAGCAAAAGUAAAUUUUGAGAGUGGGCUUCUUAUUUGUAUAUGAGCAGUCUUGUUUUUUGUUCUUAAUUAUCCAUUCACUUCCAUCACUAAUAUGGAAUCCAAUCAGCUUCCCCUCUUUGUAAUUGCAAUACACUAUGUAUUCAUUAGUGAAAUAUUCUCUCUUUUGAUACUAUGAGCUCUCAAAAUAAGCAAAAUCAAUAUAGUUGACACAAUUCAAAUCUUAAAUUAUUUUAAAUUUUUGUGGC